ensembl:lncRNA
GCACACCAUGUUUUACAAAUUCAAAACCCACCUCUCAAACAAACACAAAGUGCUUUGCAAAUGCAAGAGAUGUCUAUCAAAAAUACAAUGUGUUUUGCAAAUAUAUAGCUAGCAAUGUAGUUAGUUACAUGUCUGCAAUGUGUAGCUAUCUGUGCGAUUGCAAGCACAAUGGCGACAGGGGCAAGGCUAAACUCCCUGUUAACAGGAAAGCUUGAGCAGAACUUGGGCACAUACACGUGUCUAAAUGAGUAUACUAGCGUACAUGUGGUAAAUGUACACAAUACAUACAAACAUAAGAUGGUAUAUACAUGAUAAAUACAAAAUUGAUAGUGGAUAAGGUGGGGGGAGAUUUUUCAAGUAUUGUAGAACAGCUUAGUGGGUAUACAGAGUGCUCGCGGGUUACUAUUAAAAGAGUAAAGUAAGUAGAGCAAUGGAACAGAAAACUAUGUCGAUGGUGGCAGUUAUUUACAUAGCAGGUAAAGCUAGCACAGAGUAUGGGGUAGAAUAAGUCCAUGACAGUGUGGUGAGGGUAGAUAGGUGUAGGCCGAGGGUUUCUGAAAGUAGAUCAUGUGGAGAGACUACAGCAGCAUCCCACAGCAAAGAUAGUCAAGGAUAGAAGGGGAAGGAAGAGACAAAUUGAGAGGGUAGAGUUCGGCUGCCAAAAUCUGCUAAAAUAUCUUGCAUAUAGGUACAUGUUGAAACCAUAUAAGUGUAACUGUACCACAGACUAUGCGAUACUGUGUGACACUACAGACUAUGCCUCAUGAGUAAUGGGAUAUGCUCAUUAUGGCAAGUCACUGUAUAAUGUAUAUCUUACAUGUACUUUACUGUAUAUACUCUACUAUACUAUACCGUACUAUACUCUGAUAUACUUUUUUGACUGACUUGAUUGAUUGAUUGAUUGAUUGGUUGGUUAAUGGAUGGAUGGAUGGAUGGAUGGAUGGAUGGAUAGAUUCACUUCGGGCCUGAUCGAUUGGCAACAUCUGACAAAAAAAGAGUAUGAAUUUAAUACAGGUCCCAUUCUCAAAAAUAUAAAAGCUAGAGCCUAAUAUAACCUGUCAUCGACUGCAUGUUUGUUUAGAGGAGAAAGGUUGAUUACUUUCAGACUUCCCAUGAGGAACCAGCAGUAUGAUGAGAUAUACUUCCUCCCUGAUAAAGUCACCUGCUAAACUCUGCCAAUGUCACAUUCAUCCCCAUCAUUAAGACUCAUAGGGUACAUAGCCCUUAUUCCAUAGCCCUGUAUGUUAUCUGUUAAACACCACGGUAGCACUUUUAAUUGAGCAUACGAGGCUUGUCCUCAGAAUGAAUGCCCAG